rnacentral:lncRNA from 1 species
UCUCGUUCCAAUGAGAAUGAAGGCUGAGGUGUGCGCCUUUUUUUUUUUUCCUUCUUAGUCGUGUGUACAUCAUUGGGAAUGGAGGGAAAUAAAUGACUGGAUGGUCGCUGCUUUUUAAGUUUCAAAUUGACAUUCCAGACAAGCGGUGCCUGAGCCCGUGCCUGUCUUCAGAUCUUCACAGCACAGUUCCUGGGAAGGUGGAGCCACCAGCCUCUCCCUGGCUCUGCCGACUUCCAGUUCUGGAACAAGAUGGUUAAACUCAUUUUUCCCUGCUCUGCUCCUCUAAAUACAACUAAGUACCUUGGAAACUAUUCAGCAGACAAUGAUAAAGGGCUCUGAAAGCUAGAAGAAAAGGUGUACUUGCAAGAAACCUCAGGACUUGAGUAACAGCAACAUGCUCACCAAGCUCCUGUAUCUACUGGAAAAUGGAAGUCCAGCCUUACCAACUUGUGAACCUUGUCUGAAGGGAGCCAGGGCCUGCCAAUGGAACCACCUCCAGGAGCUGCAACUGCUGUUGUCAUUAAUACCAUUGUGUCUAUUUUUUGAGAGAGAUAAACUUUUCAUGGUGUUACAUUUUGGAAAAAAAAAAAAAAGACUAGGUGAACAGUCAGGUAGGAAAGCAGCAUAACAGUCCCUUAAAUUCUGAUCAUGUAGGACAUUCUUCUUUGCCCUGGGCCUGGGAAAAUGCAGCAUGUUCCAGAGCAAAAGUCCUAAUGAGGGGAACUAAACCAGUGGGACCCAAACCAAUGUCCUGGCUCACUGAGGACCCGUUAGAACCAAAUCUCUGGGUGUGGACAGGCUCCCAUACUUUUCAAAAAUUCCCCUGAUGACUAAUGAACAACCAGAGGUAAGAACCAGUGGCCCAGAGGAAUAACCAGCCCAGCUGUUGUACGAGCUCGCUAAGCUGGCUCAGGUCAAUGUUGAAUUCUCUGCUAGGCAGCUCCUCAUAAGAACUGGCAGAGAUGGUUCUUACACAACAACAGGUGACAACUCCAGACUCUGCCGGAAGUUCCAGGAUCUGGGUUCCCGGACAAUGCAUGACACUCAGUCCAGCAUUGCAGGUGGAAGAGCGACGGUGAAAAGACCAAAGUCAAUUAAAAUGUGUUAACCAAAACAGGAAACAUGAGUGAGGUGAUUGAGAGUGUGUUUAACUUAGAUGUGUGAUUUUAUCAAUACUUUCAUUGUUCAAAAACUCUUAUUUUUUAAAGAUAUUUUCAAAACAAAUCCAAACUUUACUUUUCAUUCCAAAUUCGUGUUCCGUCUAUACUUGCAUUUGGGGAAAGAUUGAAACAAAACACAAAUACUUUGUAGCAAUGUUGGAGUGUCAUGUUCUUUGCAGAGGGACAGGAAAAAAAAAGGAUUUUUUUUUCUUAUCAAGAGAUACUGUUUCCUCAAGGAGAAAGGGCAUCAGUCCAAGGCACUGGUUUGCUCAAAAAGAUUAGUAAAGAACAAGCAUAUUUUGUCUGUGGUGACAACAUGAUCUCCCCCCCCCCACUAGUAAACUCACAGCAUCAGUACGCAGGCAGUGUGAUGCAUUUUCAAAGUUCCUCACUUUUCCAGAUCCAACAGGACUCUUGUGCACAUACUCGGUGUUUCCAUGGCAAAUCCACUGUGUAUGAAAAUUAGACCCUUCCAAAAAACAAAUUUACUAGUCAGUAACCAUCAUCAGCACUUUUUUUCUGUACCAUGAAAUUUGGGAACAAAAUUAAAGGGCUCUUGAUUGA